AGGACGAACGCUGGCGGCGUGCUUAACACAUGCAAGUCGAACGAUGAAGGGGAGCUUGCUCCUUGGAUUAGUGGCGAACGGGUGAGUAACACGUGAGCAAUCUGCCCUUGACUCUGGGAUAAGCGUUGGAAACGACGUCUAAUACCGGAUACGACCCUCGGAGGCAUCUCCGUGGGGGUGAAAGAUUUUGGUCAAGGAUGAGCUCGCGGCCUAUCAGCUUGUUGGUGAGGUAAUGGCUCACCAAGGCGACGACGGGUA
rnacentral:rRNA from 1 species